rnacentral:rRNA from 1 species
AGACGGAGGGCGCAAGCGUUGUUCGGAAUCACUGGGCAUAAAGAGUACGUAGGCGGUCUGCUAAGUCAGAUGUGAAAGCCCUGGGCUUAACCCGGGAACUGCAUUUGAUACUGGCAGACUUGAGGACAGCAGGGGUGAGUGGAACUUCAGGUGGAACGGUGAAAUGUGUAGAUAUCUGAAGGAACACCGGUGGCGAAAGCGGCUCACUGGGCUGUCUCUGACGCUGAGGUACGAAAGCUAGGGUAGCGAACGGAAUUAGAAACCCUUGUAGUCC